GUCGGUGAAUGCAUCUCCACCCUGACAGAGUGAGUCGCCAAUACCUCUCUCUCUCUCUCUCUCUCUCUCUUUUUCCCGCCACCGCAAGCAAGAUUUCCACCCUCUCCGACGCCGAAUCAUCUCGCUUCCUAAAAAACGUGAAUCAUCUUCUCAAUCCUCCCUCCUAUUCUGACAACGACGAACGCAAACUCAAGAUACAAAAACUUUCAAUCGGCUUGAAUUCUCAUGAUUGAUAACAACCUCACCACAUUACUCCGUAAUUCUCAAACCGGAUCGCACCAAAACGUCGUGAGUACUCGAGUCUCUUUCUCCUUUUCAAUUUUCAACAAUUUCACAAUUGCGUAGGAUCUUCUUCUUUCCAACACGGGUACAAUUUCAAUUUCAAAACACGAUUUCCUUAUUAUUUUAUUUUUCUUCUUAAUUUCUGGAAUUUCGCGCGUUAAUAUCGUUUUUUUAAUUUUAAUUCCAUGAAUUCCUGUUGAAUUUGGAAACUGGAUAUACUUUGACCGUUUAGGAUUUUC
rnacentral:lncRNA from 1 species